CACGUAGGCGGAAUGUUAAGUGAGGGUGAAAUCCCAGGGCUCAACCCUGGAACUGCCUUUCAUACUGGCAAUCUAGAGAUCGAGAGAGGUGAGUGGAAUUCCGAGUGUAGAGGUGAAAUUCGUAGAUAUUCGGAGGAACACCAGUGGCGAAGGCGGCUCACUGGCUCGAUACUGACGCUGAGGUGCGAAAGCGUGGGAGCAAACA
rnacentral:rRNA from 1 species